GGUCAAGUUAUUAAGGGUGCAGGGCGGAUGCCUUGGCACUAGGAGCCGAUGAAGGACGUGAUAAGCUGCGAUAAGCUUCGGGGAGUUGCACGUAAACUUUGAUCCGAAGAUUUCCGAAUGAGGAAACUCACUUAGAGUAAUGUCUAAGUAUCAUUAAGUGAAUACAUAGCUUAAUGAGGGGAACUCAGGGAACUGAAACAUCUAAGUACCUGAAGGAAGAGAAAGAAAUUCGAUUCCGUAAGUAGCGGCGAGCGAACGCGGAUUAGCCCAAACCAAUAAAGUUUUCUUUAUUGGGGUUGCGGACAUAUCAUAACGAAGAGGUAUCGUAAUUGAAGAGGUUUGGAAAGACCCACCACAGAAGGUAAUAGUCCUGUAUGUUAAACGAGAAGACUUCAGAUAUGAUCCAGAGUACCACGGGACACGUGAAACCCUGUGGGAAGCAGGAGGGACCACCCUCCAAGGCUAAAUACUACCUAGUGACCGAUAGCGUAUAGUACCGUGAGGGAAAGGUGAAAAGAACCCCGGGAGGGGAGUGAAAUAGAACCUGAAACCCUGCACUUACAAGCUGUGGAAGCACAUUUCUUGUGUGACCGCGUACUUUUUGUAGAACGGGCCAACGAGUUACGUUAAGUAGCAAGGUUAAGCACUUAAGGUGUGGAGCCGUAGCGAAAGCGAGUUUUAACUGAGCGUUCAGUUACUUGACGUAGACCCGAAACCGGGCGACCUACCCAUGAGCAGGAUGAAGCGAAAGUAAAAUUUCGUGGAGGUCCGAACCCACGAGCGUUGAAAAGCUCGGGGAUGACUUGUGGGUAGCGGUGAAAUUCCAAUCGAGCCCGGAGAUAGCUGGUUCUCCCCGAAAUAGCUUUAGGGCUAGCCUCAAGGUGAGAGAUACGGAGGUAGAGCACUGAAUGUCCUAGGGGGUAUUGCACCUACCGAAGACUAUCAAACUCCGAAUGCCGUCAUCUUAUACUUGGGAGUCAGACUGUGGGUGAUAAGAUUCAUAGUCGAAAGGGCAACAGCCCAGAUCGUCAGCUAAGGUCCCUAAAUGUAAGUUAAGUGGUAAAGGAUGUGGGAUUGCACAGACAACCAGGAUGUUGGCUUAGAAGCAGCCACUCAUUCAAAGAGUGCGUAAUAGCUCACUGGUCGAGUGAUCCUGCGCCGAAGAUUUCCGGGGCUAAAACUUACUACCGAAGCUACGGCAUCAGUAAUGAUGGGUAGGGGAGCUUCCCAUACGGGUUGAAGCAUGACCGUAAGGACAUGUGGACAGUAUGGGAGUGAGAAUGUUGGCAUGAGUAGCGAGAUGUGGGUGAGAAUCCCACAGGCCGUAAACCCAAGGUUUCCAGGGGAAGGUUCGUCCGCCCUGGGUUAGUCGGGACCUAAGCUGAGGCCGAAAGGCGUAGGUGAUGGACAACAGGUUGAUAUUCCUGUACUACCGAUAACCGUUUGAGAGAAGGGAUGACACAGUAGGAUAAGCUAAGCACACUGUUGGUUAUGUGUGCCCAAGCAUUGAGGCAGUCAAAGUAGGCAAAUCCGCUUUGAUAAUGCUGGGAUGUGAUGGGGAGCGAAAUUUAGUAGCGAAGUAGCUGAUUUCACACUGUCAAGAAAAGUCUCUAUCGAGGUUAAAGGUACCCGUACCGCAAACCGACACAGGUGGGUGAGGAGAGUAUCCUAAGGCCAGCGAGAGAACUGUUGUUAAGGAACUCGGCAAAAUGACCCCGUAACUUAGGGAUAAGGGGUGCCACCAUCAGGUGGCCGCAGAGAAUAGGCCCAAGCGACUGUUUACCAAAAACAUAGGUUUCUGCUAAGUCGCAAGACGAUGUAUAGGAGCUGACGCCUGCCCGGUGCUGGAAGGUUAAGGGGAUCUGUUAGAGCAAUCGAAGCAGUGAACUUAAGCCCCAGUAAACGGCGGCCGUAACUAUAACGGUCCUAAGGUAGCGAAAUUCCUUGUCGGGUAAGUUCCGACCCGCACGAAAGGCGUAACGAUUUGGGCACUGUCUCAACAACAGACUCGGUGAAAUUGUAAUUCCGGUGAAGAUGCCGGAUACCUGCGACAGGACGGAAAGACCCCAUGGAGCUUUACUGUAGCUUGACAUUGGGUCUUGGUACUACAUGUACAGGAUAGGUGGGAGGCUUUGAAACCAGGACGCCAGUUUUGGCGGAGCCAUCCUUGGGAUACCACCCUUGUAGUACUGGGACUCUAACCAUAGGCCAUGAAUCUGGUCUUGGGACACUGUCAGGUGGGCAGUUUGACUGGGGCGGUCGCCUCCCAAAAGGUAACGGAGGCGCUCAAAGGUUCUCUCAGUACGGUCGGAAAUCGUACGUAGAGUGUAAAGGCAAAAGAGAGCUUGAUUGCAAGACAUACAGGUCGAGCAAGGAUGAAAAUCGGACUUAGUGAUCCGGUGGUUCUGCGUGGAAGGGCCAUCGCUCAACGGAUAAAAGCUACCCUGGGGAUAACAGGCUUAUCUCCCCCAAGAGUCCACAUCGACGGGGAGGUUUGGCACCUCGAUGUCGGCUCAUCACAUCCUGGGGCUGUAGUAGGUCCCAAGGGUUGGGCUGUUCGCCCAUUAAAGUGGUACGCGAGCUGGGUUCAGAACGUCGUGAGACAGUUCGGUCCCUAUCCGUCGCAGGCGUAGGAAAUUUGAGAAGACCUGUCCUUAGUACGAGAGGACCGGGAUGGACGUACCUCUGGUGUACCAGUUGUUCUGCCAAGGGCAUGGCUGGGUAGCUAUGUGCGGAAUGGAUAAGCGCUGAAAGCAUCUAAGCGCGAAGCCAACUUCAAGAUAAGAUUUCCCACCGCAAGGGUAAGACCCCAGAAAGACUAUCUGGUUGAUAGGUCGAAGGUGUAAGUGCAGCAAUGUAUUUAGCUUAUCGAUACUAAUAGGUCGAGGACUUGACCAA
rnacentral:rRNA from 1 species